ACGUUACAUGCUAGCAUUAAAUCAUGUAUCCUGCAUCAAAUUUGGUAUCAGAACCCAUAGGUUUAGCAUAGGAUUUUUGUGUUGCACCUAGGUUAAGACUCACAUCUAGGGUUAGUAGAGUAUGCAUUGCAUAUAGGAUCAUAUUGCUGAAUUUUUGUUGGAGUAUCUUGUUGCUGAGUUUUCAGUACGCAGCCCCACUUAUACCAUUGCUGAAAUUUCAACAUAGUAAUUUCAGGUUGUUACAUUGCUGAGUUUUCAGUUUGUAAUUUUCGAAUUACACCCGUGCUGAAUUUUCAGUUUGUACCCUUGGGUUACCGUCUUACUGAAUUGUCAACAUAAGAUUUGAGGAUAGUGACUUGCUGAAUUUUGUAGUUAGUGUGUCUAGUGUGAUCUCUAAGCUAGUACUAUCAUUGUCAUCACAUUGUCCUAGGACCUAGUGUUUUCUUUAGAGUGUCCUUGUGUAUGCCCACUCAUUCAGGACGUGGCUUUGGUCUACAUCCCACUAUGAAUCUAGAGCAGAUUGACGAGGCCCUUAACACUAUCAACAACCGUCUGACGGCUAUUGAAGCGUACAAUAGGACCACCGCAACUUAAUUGACCGUGAUCAAUGCACGUGUCAAUCGGCUUGAAGCCUCCCUUCAGGCAAACCCCAACACUCGGGAAGAUGUCCAAUCACAAGUCAGGGAUCAAGUUGAGAUUGUGCCACUUGCAAUUAUUAGCCGCACCUUAAGCCAAAUUGUAGAAAGUGGUGAUUGACACAGGGAUUCAAUUUUCCACACUUAUGCCAAGUGUGGUGGCAAAAACUGCAAGAUGAUCAUUGAUAGUGGCGGUUGCAUCAAUGCGGUAUCUGCUCGCACCGUGGACCGCUUAGGUAUGCUAGUCGUUCCUCACCCUCAGCCCUAUCGAGUCUCAUGGGUUGAUGCAUCUUUAAUUCUGGUUUCUCAGCGUUGUCCUAUUCCUAUCCAGUUUUGUUUCUAUACGGACACGUUGUGCCGUGUGAUGUUUUGCCUAUGGAUAUAGGCCACAUCAUUUUGGGCAGGCCUUGGUUGUAUGACAUGGACGCAACACUAUUGUCUAAUACGUGUUCGUUUCUGUACGGGGGCAAAAGGAUUGUCUUGAAGUCUCUCCCACCCAAAAGCAUUCCUAAAAAGGAAGACGUCAAGACAUGUGGUCUUGAAGAUGUGACGAAACUUCAGCUUGAGUCUCUUCCCAUAGUUAAUGCCAAAGAGUCUGAAAAAGAGACUAAAACUAAUUUGACAUUGUAUGCCCACAUGGCAAGUGAGGUCACACCUAAGGUUAUUAUGGAGAUACCACUUGAGGUUACAUCUGAGGUUAGUAUAGAGUUACCAUCUGAGGUGAGUCCGGUAUUGGAGGAGUCCAGUGUUGUUAUUCCAGGGGACAUACCAGAUAAGCUUAUACCCGUGUGAGACAUUCACCCAUUGACUCUACCAAAUAUUCAUCAUGAUCAAAUGAGUCCUGGGGAGGACGUGGAUUUGGAAAGACAAGUAGAUGAGCCUAAGACCUCUAUAGAUUGCAUACUCAUGUCUGUGUUCCAUAGGCCUUUAGAGUUUGCACAUGCAUCUACACAACAUAUACAUGCCUUGCAUGUGGAGAUUAGAAAAAGAAUCAAUACAAGUAAUGAAACAUACAAAAUGAUUGCUGACUCACACCAUAGGUUUAAAGAGUUUGUUAUGGGUGAUGAAGUCAUGAUUAAAAUACGUCCAAAAAGGUUUCCACAGAGAACCAUAAAAAAAUUACAAGCCCGUAACGCUGGACCAUAUAAAAUCUUGAAAAGACUGGGUUCGAAUGCUUACUUGAUAGAUCUUCCAUCUAACAUGGGUAUCAGUUUCACAUUUAAUGUGGAAGAUCUUGUAUCGUUUCAUGGACAUUCCCUUAACCCUCACAUGAAUUUUGAUGAUGAUACCACUGAUCUGUCCCAAAGCCCAUGACCAUUACCUGACCCCUCUUCCCAACCUUUACCAUCCGCACCAUCCAUACCUAUGAGAAGAGAUGAGAUGAAGGAUAUCUUAGAUGAAGAAGCGGUUUCCACACGACAUGGCGGUUACCAGGAGUACCUUGUCAAAUGGAAGGGCAGACCAAAAUCAGACAGUACGUGGAUCACAGAGGCAACGCUUCAGCGACGAGACCUGGAUCUCCUCGAGCAUCACUGCAGCUUUAUUUCGCUAGAGGCGAAAUCUCCUCAGUUGAGGGGAAUUGAUGGGGACAUCAGAGGACGCACUCGGGUGUAACAGAGAUAGAGACGACCACUCAUAUUAGCGCAGCUUUCUUUGUGGAUGAUAGAUGAGUUUCAGAUGGGGGCCUGUUGGGCAUUUUGAAGACCCCACAUGUAUUGGGCAUGCAUUAGGAAGACCCCACUUUGGGAUGAUGCAUGUGGGCUGCUUAGGAGACUAUUUUAAUCAUAGGAUUUCUAUUUCGUGUCGAUCCGACCGUUGGAUCUUGUCGAUCAGGCUAUCGGGCCAUCAGAUCUUUUAGAUAUGGGCCCCUUGGACUCUGAUUUUGCUUUCUUUAUGGUUUUUGGUAUUUUUAAGAGUUAUUUGAUGGUUGAAAUUGAUAAUAUAUAUUUUAGUUUUCUUAUUUUGGAUGAUGGGCCGCUUUACUUAAGUGAGUGGCAUAGUUGUAAUUAUGCUGGAUUUUAAUUCUGAAUUUUUAAUUAUAAAUACAUAGGGAGAGUGGAGUUCCAACCCUAGUGGAGAUUUGAGAAGAAAAAAAGAAGAGAGAAGCUCUAUUGUGUGAA